rnacentral:lncRNA from 1 species
CACUGCUCAGGGUGUCUGGCUGUAAUUGGUCCUGGUAGGAGGUUUAAACCAGUAAGAUUCACCUUUGAUCUAGACAUGACUGGGUGCAUUUUUUACCUUGAAGACGCAACUCAGAAGUACCUGCUGACCUCAGUGUUCCUGCCUACCACACACAUACAGAGCAUCCAGAGGAGACGACCUUUUGACCCCCAGGGGCCGCCCAACCACCAUGCCUGAAUGGAGCCAAACAGAGGGAGGAGAAGAGCUGGAGAAGAGCCGGCUAACAACAAAAACAACAACAACAGAGAACAGUGACUUAAACUGGGUGUCAGAAACCACACAAUCAAGUCUGUUAGGUAUGUAUAUGUUAUAUGUUUAGGAAGAAUGCGUGAUCAUUUAAACCAAUAGAAGUAAAUUAAGGGUGCCAAUAAUUUUGUCUGGCUCAUUGUUGUAGUUUUUCCUGAAAUUAUAUCAAUUUUGCCUUUUUUUUUCGGAUACACAAAGGAAAUA